rnacentral:lncRNA from 1 species
AUGUUCUUUCUCCCCGUAGAUAGCACAACUAUAGAAAAAUUAAGAACUGUUUGUUUGGACCAUUCAAAAGUUGGAGAAAGGAGUCUUCAUCCAUCUCUUGACUCACUUUUCUUUGGUCCUUCAGCCUCCCAAGUUCUGUACCUAACAGAGGUAGUUUAUGCUUUGUUAAUGCCUGCUCUUGCACCUCUGGCUGAAAUUUCCUCAGACUUUCAGUUGCACUUCUUGAAAAGUGGUGGUUUAGCCCUUGUACUGAAUAUGCUAAUAAGAAAAAAUUUUCUACCAAAUGCAGAUGUGGACACUAGGAGGAGUGCGUACUUCAGUGUCCUUAAAAUAGCCAAACUGUUGUUAACCACUAUUGGCUAUGGCCAUGUCCAGGCUGUAGCAGAAGCUUAUCAGCCUGUUAUAGAUGGUGCUGAUCCAAUAACACCGGUAAUAAAUUUUAAAACAUCCUUUUAAAUUUAUCAUUAGUGUUUGUUAUAAAUAACAAUUAUUUAACAAUACUAGGAC